rnacentral:rRNA from 1 species
AUGGCCGGUGGUAGCCCCACAACUACCUCGAGCUCCCUGCUCCUCUUCUUCCUCCUCUCUUGCUUGCUCAUCGGCCAGGCUCUCUGCAACCAAGGCCACCAUGGUAGCAUCUCAGACUAUGGAGAACAAUAUGCUCACCAGGGAUUACCUGAAGAACAUAUGGACUUGCAAGAGAACAUCAAGCAGGGUCUAAACAAGGAGAAGCCGCCCAAGUAUGCAAGGAGAAUGCUGAUUGGUUCAAUUGCUCCCAUAUGCACGUACAACGAAUGCAGGGGUUGUCGAUCCAAGUGUACCGCUGAGCAAGUCCCGGUGGAUGCAAAUGACCCCAUGAAUAGUGCCUAUCAUUACAAGUGUGUCUGCCACAGGUGA